GACUAGUCCAAGUGCCAUCAUGUUUACAACUGAUUGAUCACAAGCAAUCGCAAAUUUCGUUGUUCCUUCUCCACUCUCACUGCUUCAUUUGACUAGCCUUUA
rnacentral:Y_RNA from 1 species